rnacentral:rRNA from 1 species
UACGAAGGGGGCUAGCGUUGCUCGGAAUCACUGGGCGUAAAGGGUGCGUAGGCGGGUUUUAAGUCAGGGUGAAAUCCUGGAGCUCAACUCCAGAACAUGCCUUUGAUACUGAAGAUCUUGAGUCCGGGAGAGGUGAGUGGAACUGCGAGUGUAGAGGUGAAAUCGUAGAUAUUCGCAAGAACACCAGUGGCGAAGGCGGCUCACUGGCCCGGUACUGACGCUGAGACGCGAAAGCGUGGGGAGCGAACAGG